GCCUUCUGUCUGAAUCAUGAUUAUAACAAAUGAUAAAACUUUCAACAACGGAUCUCUUGGUUCUCGCAUCGAUGAAGAACGCAGCGAAAUGCGAUAAGUAGUGUGAAUUGCAGAAUUCAGUGAAUCAUCGAAUCUUUGAACGCACAUUGCGCCUCCUGGUAUUCCGGGAAGCAUGCC
rnacentral:rRNA from 1 species